rnacentral:tRNA from 1 species
GCUCCCGUGGUCUAGUCCGGUCAAGGAUGCGAGGCCUUCGACCUCGAGGUCGCGGGUUCAAAUCCCGCCGGGAGCA